UACGUAGGGUGCGAGCGUUGUCCGGAAUUAUUGGGCGUAAAGAGCUCGUAGGCGGUCUGUCGCGUCUGCUGUGAAAUCCCGAGGCUCAACCUCGGGCUUGCAGUGGGUACGGGCAGACUAGAGUGCGGUAGGGGAGAUUGGAAUUCCUGGUGUAGCGGUGGAAUGCGCAGAUAUCAGGAGGAACACCAAUGGCGAAGGCAGAUCUCUGGGCCGUAACUGACGCUGAGGAGCGAAAGCAUGGGGAGCGAACAGG
rnacentral:rRNA from 1 species